AUCAAUUCUCAUUUCCCGCGGAAAGAAUUCGAAUUUUCCGACCGGCGGAGCGUCGCCAACUCCUCCCGGCAGAGUUAGGUGCGGCCGGGGAGACCUUAAUCCUCCGCAAUCCAUCGUUCAGCGUGGGGUGGGGCAAGUAAUGGUACGACUUCGAAGCCCUAAAUCGACAAAAACUCGGGCAUAUCCGGACAGUGUUGCGUGCACGAAAAACAGUAGAAAUGUUCGACAAAAUGCCAAGCCAAGGCGUUCCUUUGUUUCAACGAUAAGGAUCGGAAGGGCCAGAACGAAAAUCGCAUGUAAUUCUGAGCAGAAUAGCCGGAAAGAGAUAAUAGAAGCCGACCCUGAUAUCAGAGGAUUAGCCGAUGGAACAGAGAUGGGAUUUGGGGCGACGAGUGAGAGUGGUGUUUUGCCAGAUUUGCUAGAUAUUGUUGGUCAGUUGAGACAUUUACGGAAUUGGGUAAGCCAGACAAGGUUUAUGAUCUUUUCAACAUGUGUAAUUAGAGAAUUAUGGAAUAUGGGGGAAAAAGGAGGCUUCAUGAAGAUGGAAAUGUAAUUUUAAUUGGCACGAAUGAGAAGUGUUAGGGGCUUAUGGUUGGGUAGGAGGUUACUGAUGCAUGUGGACUAUGGAGAGGAUACAUUGACCAGAAAGGCGUUGUUACCUACAACCUGAUGAACGAAUUUGAGAACAAGCCAGGAGGGAUGUGCCCAUGAAUUGCUAGAAGAGAUGUCUACAAUUAGAAUACUUGAUAUGCGUCAGGUAAUUGGGCAGAUGAUCAAGAGAGAGUGUGAUGAUGGCACUUAACCAGAAGAUGGUAGAAUACGUGUUUGACAAAUUCAUAUUUGAAAAGAGUGGCCUAUGAAUAGGGUUCUAGAUGCCAGGUUUUGGGAUGAAGCAACAACGCUUAGCUUCAUGGGUUGUUUCAUAAGGAGAAACUUGUAUGGUCUGUGGAGUCCACAGGCAGGUGGCCAGUGCACAUUAAUAGCUCUUUGGCAUGGACGUGUAGGAAAUGUUCAAAAUUGGGUAGGAUCUGCUUCAAUUGACAGUUGAUGCUGUAUCUCGAAGUACUUCGAACUCUACAUCAUGCACCCUUCCUUGCUCUUGCUUGAACCAGUAACCUCCCCCUUCCUGGGAGUUUUUUUGGGGCAUGGGUGAGGGGGUUGCAUUUGGGAAUCUCUGCUGUUCAUUCUGAUUUCAUAUUGCAUGAGUGGUCCAGCAAAAGCAAUUAUGCUGAAUUAUCUGUGGGGGAGCAAUAUUUUAUUCUGUCCUUAACCACUUCUUGCAUCACCUGUAGAUACUUUGUUUUAAUUUGCAAAGGAAAAUAAUAUAGAUGGAGAAGUCUUAAUGACACUAAAGGGCGCUCAUCAACCCUGCCAAUCCCCCCACCCCCCAGGAGACCAUUUUCACAGUGUGCCCAAAAGUAUAGCUGUAACAAUCUGUUCCCUUUCAGGACAAGAAGCCAAUAGUAAAAUUUGGGGGAUGGCACUGGGGAGGUGAAUUAUCGGUCUACAUGCUUAUAUGGAUUAUGUUGACUAUAAGACCAAUUUCGGAAUGGUCCCAAACUAUAGCAGUAACACCCCAUUCCCCUCCUGACAAGAACCCAAUAGUAAAAGUUGGGGGAUGGCACUGGCCACUGGGGAGGUAUCGAUAUGGAAACAAGAUGGAAGGACAACAGAGUUAAUGGCAAAAUAAUUUAAGAGAGAAAACAAAAUCCAUACAUCACCUUCUGGAGCUGGCUGUUCUGGCUUAAGAUAGCAGAAAUUUAGUUGAGGGGAAGCUGAGGAUUUUAGGAUUGCAUAUCAAUAUUUUGCAAUAUUUUGUCUUGGUAAAUGAAUUUUCAUUAGUUGGAUAAUAACUGAACAGCAGAUAAGUUCCUGGUUGCAGCAGUUGCCUACUGGUUAAACUGAAACAAAUUUUGCUCUUUGGUUUUACUAGUGAGGAAUUGAACAGAGGUUAGAAAAAAAUACUUUCACUGGUCAAAAUGAUUGAUUUUCUUAUCAAUCAAAUAUUUUAUUUGCAACAUUUCUUGCUGAUUUGUUUUUUUUUAAUUGGAAGUCUAUUGGUGGAUCUGCUUCAUAUUUCAACAACAACAACAAUUGCUAGCCUUAAUUCCUCUAGAUUGGUUGAGUUAAACGAAUUCUAAACCUCCAACUAUCUCUAUCCAUGGCCAUGGGCCAAUAUCCUUACAAAUAUCCUUUGUAAGGCUAUUAUAUUCUAUGUUACUUUUAAGGUGUUCCUACCAAGUUUUCUUUGAUCUUCGUCUUCCUCUUUUACUACAAACUUCCUCCAUUUCAUCCACUCACCUCAAAGGUGUGUCUAGUGGUCUUCUUCUCGCUUGCUUCAUAUUUCUUCCAACAAAAUAUUUUUAUGUCGAAAAAUGCAAGGAUGAGGUGGGUUACAAUUAAUAUGAUACUCCUUGAAUUCCAAUUUAUGGUUUUGCUUUAGCUACUCGUUGCUUUUUUUGACAUGCUUAUUUGACAUUGCUCUUAUCGGGCAAGGCUGUAGAAUUCUACUGGUUGGUCUAAGCCUUGACAUCUGCUAACAGGUACUUUCAUACGAGGGUCGCUACAGACAGAACUUCUAGAAAUUCCAGAGAGAAUGAUGCUACUCUCUCACAUAUUCAUUCAAUGACAAGUGAAAGACGCUAUCAGAAAUGACUCGUGUUUACAAAAAUGCAAAUUGCCACAUCAUUUUGGAUAUUCCAGUGCUGCAGCACUUUGCAG